UCGCAGAGCAUGUUUUCGAUCCACGGAUGUCUGGCUUAUGGGCCCAGCACGCUUCCACUGCGCCACUCUGCU
rnacentral:tRNA from 13 species